rnacentral:rRNA from 1 species
GAUGAACGCUGGCGGCGUGCCUAAUACAUGCAAGUCGAGCGAACAGACGAGGAGCUUGCUCCUCUGACGUUAGCGGCGGACGGGUGAGUAACACGUGGAUAACCUACCUAUAAGACUGGGAUAACUUCGGGAAACCGGAGCUAAUACCGGAUAAUAUAUUGAACCGCAUGGUUCAAUAGUGAAAGACGGUUUUGCUGUCACUUAUAGAUGGAUCCGCGCCGCAUUAGCUAGUUGGUAAGGUAACGGCUUACCAAGGCGACGAUGCGUAGCCGACCUGAGAGGGGGAUCGGCCACACGGGAACUGGGACCCGGCCCAGACUCCUACGGGGGGCAGCAGUGGGGAAUCUUCCGCAAUGGGCGAAAGCCUGACGGAGCAACGCCGCGUGAGUGAUGAAGGUCUUCGGAUCGUAAAACUCUGUUUUUAGGGAAGAAAAAAUGUGUAAGUAACUAUGCCCGUCUGGACGGGACUUAACCAAAAAGCCCCGGCUAAAUACGU